rnacentral:rRNA from 1 species
UGGGGAAUAUUGCACAAUGGGGGAAACCCUGAUGCAGCGACGCCGCGUGAGCGAAGAAGGCUUUCGGAUCGUAAAGCUCUGUCCUAUGAGAAGAUAAUGACGGUAUCAUAGGAGGAAGCCCCGGCUAAAUACGUGCCAGCAGCCGCGGUAAUACGUAUGGGGCGAGCGUUGUCCGGAAUUAUUGGGCGUAAAGGGUACGUAGGCGGUCUAUUAAGUCAGGUGUGAAAGCGUGAGGCUUAACCUCAUUAAGCACUUGAAACUGAUAGACUUGAGUGAAGGAGAGGAAGGUGGAAUUCCUAGUGUAGCGGUGAAAUGCGUAGAUAUUAGGAGGAAUACCGGUGGCGAAGGCGACUUUCUGGACUUUUACUGACGCUCAGGUACGAAAGCGUGGGGAGCAAACAGG